rnacentral:rRNA from 1 species
ACGAACGCUGGCGGCGUGCUUAACACAUGCAAGUCGAACGGUAAGGCCCCUUCGGGGGUACACGAGUGGCGAACGGGUGAGUAACACGUGAGCAACCUGCCCUUGACUCUGGAAUAACAGUUGGAAACAGCUGCUAAUACUGGAUAUGCACCGGGCCCCUCCUGGGGUGUGGUGGAAAGCUCCGGCGGUCAGGGAUGGGCUCGCGGCCUAUCAGCUUGUUGGUGAGGUAAUGGCUCACCAAGGCUUCGACGGGUAGCCGGCCUGAGAGGGCGACCGGCCACACUGGGACUGAGAUACGGCCCAGACUCCUACGGGAGGCAGCAGUGGGGAAUAUUGCACAAUGGGCGCAAGCCUGAUGCAGCAACGCCGCGUGCGGGAUGACGGCCUUCGGGUUGUAAACCGCUUUCAGUAGGGACGAAGGGUGACUGACGGUACCUACAGAAGAAGGACCGGCUAACUACGU